rnacentral:rRNA from 1 species
CAGUCGCCGCGGUAAUACAGAGGGUGCGAGCGUUAAUCGGAUUUACUGGGCGUAAAGCGUGCGUAGGCGGCUUUUUAAGUCGGAUGUGAAAUCCCUGAGCUUAACUUAGGAAUUGCAUUCGAUACUGGGAAGCUAGAGUAUGGGAGAGGAUGGUAGAAUUCCAGGUGUAGCGGUGAAAUGCGUAGAGAUCUGGAGGAAUACCGAUGGCGAAGGCAGCCAUCUGGCCUAAUACUGACGCUGAGGUACGAAAGCAUGGGGAGCAAACAGGAUUAGAUACCCCCGAGUCCCUGUCUCUUAUACC